CGAACGGGUGAGUAACACGUGAGUAACCUGCCCUUCACUCUGGGAUAACGUCGGGAAACCGGUGCUAAUACUGGAUAUGACCUACUCGGGCAUCCGAUGUGGGUGGAAAGAUUUAUUGGUGGGGGAUGGACUCGCGGCCUAUCAGCUUGUUGGUGAGGUAAUGGCUUACCAAGGCGACGACGGGUAGCCGGCCUGAGAGGGCGAUCGGCCACACUGGGACUGGGACACGGCCCAG
rnacentral:rRNA from 1 species